GGUGUGACUGCGUACCUUUUGUAUAAUGGGUCAGCGACUUAUAUUCUGUAGCAAGGUUAACCGUAUAGGGGAGCCGCAGGGAAACCGAGUCUUAACUGGGCGUUAAGUUGCAGGGUAUAGACCCGAAACCCGGUGAUCUAGCCAUGGGCAGGUUGAAGGUUGGGUAACACUAACUGGAGGACCGAACCGACUAAUGUUGAAAAAUUAGCGGAUGACUUGUGGCUGGGGGUGAAAGGCCAAUCAAACCGGGAGAUAGCUGGUUCUCCCCGAAAGCUAUUUAGGUAGCGCCUCGUGAACUCAUCUUCGGGGGUAGAGCACUGUUUCGGCUAGGGGGUCAUCCCGACUUACCAACCCGAUGCAAACUACGAAUACCGAAGAAUGUUAUCACGGGAGACACACGGCGGGUGCUAACGUCCGUCGUGAAGAGGGAAACAACCCAGACCGCCAGCUAAGGUCCCAAAGUCAUGGUUAAGUGGGAAACGAUGUGGGAAGGCACAGACAGCCAGGAUGUUGGCUUAGAAGCAGCCAUCAUUUAAAGAAAGCGUAAUAGCUCACUGGUCGAGUCGGCCUGCGCGGAAGAUGUAACGGGGCUAAACCAUGCACCGAAGCUGCGGCAGCGACACGAUGUGUUGUUGGGUAGGGGAGCGUUCUGUAAGCCUGCGAAGGUGACCUGUGAGGGUUGCUGGAGGUA
rnacentral:rRNA from 1 species